GACGAACGCUGGCGGCGUGCUUAACACAUGCAAGUCGAACGGAAAGGCCCUGCUUUUGUGGGGUGCUCGAGUGGCGAACGGGUGAGUAACACGUGAGUAACCUGCCCUUGACUUUGGGAUAACUUCAGGAAACUGGGGCUAAUACCGGAUAGGAGCUCCUGCUGCAUGGUGGGGGUUGGAAAGUUUCGGCGGUUGGGGAUGGACUCGCGGCUUAUCAGCUUGUUGGUGGGGUAGUGGCUUACCAAGGCUUUGACGGGUAGCCGGCCUGAGAGGGUGACCGGCCACAUUGGGACUGAGAUACGGCCCAGAGUCCUACGGGAGGCAGCAGUGGGGAAUAUUGCACAAUGGGCGGAAGCAUGAUGCAGCAACGCCGCGUGCGGGAUGACGGCCUUCGGGUUGUAAACCGCUUUCGCCUGUGACGAAGCGUGAGUGACGGUAAUGGGUAAAGAAGCACCGGCUAACUACGUG
rnacentral:rRNA from 1 species